GAGUUUGAUCGUGGCUCAGGACGAACGCUGGCGGCGUGCUUAACACAUGCAAGUGGUGCGACGAACCAGGGCUUGCCCUGGGGCCAAGCCGCGAACGGGUGAGUAACACGUGAGUAACCUGCCCCGAUGACCGGGACAACCCGAGGAAACUCGGGCUAAUACCGGAUGUUGCGCACAGGCGUAAGCCUGUUCGCUAAAGGAAGCUUCGGCCUCCGCAUUGGGAGGGGCUCGCGGCCCAUUAGCUUGUUGGUGGGGUUACGGCCUACCAAGGCGACGAUGGGUAGCUGGUCUGAGAGGACGAUCAGCCACACUGGGACUGAGACACGGCCCAGACUCCUACGGGAGGCAGCAGUGGGGAAUCUUGCGCAAUGCGCGAAAGCGUGACGCAGCAACGCCGCGUGGGGGAAGACGGCC
rnacentral:rRNA from 1 species